rnacentral:rRNA from 1 species
GAGCCUACGGGGGGCAGCAGUGGGGAAUAUUGCACAAUGGGCGAAAGCCUGAUGCAGCAACGCCGCGUGAAGGAAGAAGGUCUUCGGAUCGUAAACUUCUGUCCUUGGGGAAGAUAAUGACGGUACCCUUGGAGGAAGCCCCGGCUAACUACGUGCCAGCAGCCGCGGUAAUACGUAGGGGGCAAGCGUUAUCCGGAUUUACUGGGUGUAAAGGGGGCGCAGACGGCGAUGCAAGCCAGGAGUGAAAGCCCGGGGCCCAACCCCGGGACUGCUCUUGGAACUGCGUGGCUGGAGUGCAGGAGGGG